rnacentral:rRNA from 1 species
AUUGAACGCUGGCGGCAUGCCUUACACAUGCAAGUCGAACGGUAACAGGUUAAGCUGACGAGUGGCGAACGAGUGAGUAAUGUAUCGGAACGUGCCCAGUUGUGGGGGAUAACUGCUCGAAAGAGCAGCUAAUACCGCAUACGACCUGAGGGUGAAAGCGGGGGAUCGCAAGACCUCGCGCAAUUGGAGCGGCCGAUAUCAGAUUAGGUAGUUGGUGGGGUAAAGGCUCACCAAGCCGACGAUCUGUAGCUGGUCUGAGAGGACGACCAGCCACACUGGGACUGAGACACGGCCCAGACUCCUACGGGAGGCAGCAGUGGGGAAUUUUGGACAAUGGGCGCAAGCCUGAUCCAGCCAUGCCGCGUGCGGGAAGAAGGCCUUCGGGUUGUAAACCGCUUUUGUCAGGGAAGAAACGCUCUGGGUUAAUACCCUGGGGUAAUGACGGUACCUGAAGAAUAAGCACCGGCUAACUACGUGCCAGCAGCCGCAGUAACAC